rnacentral:rRNA from 1 species
CCAAUAGCGUAUAUUAAAGUUGUUGCAGUUAAAAAGCUCGUAGUUGAAUUUCGGGAUCAAAUUGUCGGUCGUGCCUCGGUACGUACUGGUAUUAUUGGUUCCUCCCUUCUGACGAACCACGAUGUCAUUAAUUUGGUGUCAUGGGAAAUCAGGACUGUUACUUUGAAAAAAUUAGAGUGUUUAAAGCAGGCUCGCGCUUGAAUACAUUAGCAUGGAAUAAUGAAAUAGGACGUUUGAUUCUAUUUUGUUGGUUUCUAGGAUCGACGUAAUGAUUAAUAGGGAUAGUUGGGGGCAUUAGUAUUCAAUUGUCAGAGGUGAAAUUCUUGGAUUCAUUGAAGACUAACUACUGCGAAAGCAUUUGCCAAGGAUGUUUUCAUUAAUCAAGAACGAAAGUUAGGGGAUCGAAGACGAUCAGAUACCGUCGUAGUCUUAACCAUAAACUAUGCCGACUAGGGAUCGGAUGAUGUUAAUUUUUUAAUGACUCAUUCGGCGCCUUACG